UCGUGCCAACAAACAACUAUAAACCAUAACAAAAAAAGACUAAAACUCAGUUAAGUAUCAAUUAACUGUCCUUUCAUGCUAUUGAAUUACAAACUAGCCAGUUAUACUAGCCCAUCAAUAUACCAUGAGUAUUACAACAAGUAUUUAAACUUCUUCAACAUCUUUCAUUUCAUGCUUUCAAAUGUCACAGUUACACCAAUAUGAGACUCGAAAUGUGUACCUGGAAUGCUGAAAAUGCAAAGGAGAAGAGGAAGAAGAUAGGGAAAAUCAGGAGCAGCAGGAACAAAAUAGCAGCAACAACAAAGCGACACAGCAGCAAUGACAAACAAGUAACAGCAGAACAAGUUCCAGUGCAGAAUGCAGUUAUGGCCGAUGGUAAAAGUAGCAAAUGACAGCAAUAACCAGUAAUGUAGGAUCAGAACUCAGACAGACCAAAUCCAAGAAUAAACUAAUGCAACACACGACCAGUAACCUCAAUUAGGACUUGGAAGAAUCAGUAUUGAUUAAACAGGUUGAAACAAGUGAAAUCAGAACAACAAUAGGAAGAACAGUUUCUGAUUUUUAUCUGUAUGUUUUCUAUCUCUUGUUUUCUAUCUCUCUCCCGUAUAUAUCCUCUCUCAAUGUGUAUCUGUAUAUGCCUGUCUCUCUUUUUUUUUCUCUCCCCUCUAACUAAUGGAAGUUCUCCUCUUUUAUAGCCUAGCAUCAGCCCUUUACAGCCUGUUGGACAAAUCAGAACCCUCUCCUUUCCUGCUGUCUUUCCACUCAAAAAAAAUUAAAAAAUAGAAACCAUCCCAUGAGAUUCCCUGACAGCCUUUACUUAGAUAUGGUUUAUUAUUUCUUAAACAAAUCAGGGUGUGGGCAGCUUGAAUAUGUCGUGACAGCACAUGCUGUCAAAUUAUUUUUAAUCUCUAAAAGGGCCUUAAUGCACAUGUUGUGCACAAGUGCACAUGCCACCAAUUCAGACUGCAGCUAACAAACCAAAUCCUUAAAUUUCUGAUUCAAAUACAACAACUAUAAGUAGCUAUACUCGAUUCUUAAUUUGAUUCAAACAAAGUUCAGCAGGAAAACAAAUCAAAUUGUUAUCGUUCAAACAGCUGAAAACAAUCGACGACACGUAUCGAAUCGACUAUACUAGUUAUAACUUAUACAACCAAUAGCCAAUGAUCGGAAUCGAACAGUAUUUAACAAGGGAUUCAGAUUUGCACUGUCAAAACAGGAAUGAACCUGAGAACUAAUUAGUCGACCAAUUUCAAAUUCAGUCGAUUAUACAGUUUACAUACACACAUUAUCAGUGAAUGAAAAAGGACUUGACCAAAUGCAGAGGUCCGGGCAAGGUGGACAAGACAGUCGACCAAAAUUCAAAAACAAAAUCAACCAAACAUUUGGGGCAACGAACAAACAUUUAACUACAACAAACACACGAACUGAUAAAGAAAAAAGGGAAAGCAAAAAUACCUGAAAGUCUUGGAAAAAUCAACAAACCCUGACUCGGAUUUGAAUCGACCUUUCUUGGGGUUGAACGGACUUUAAUCGAAGUGUUCUCUACUGAGAACACUUCGAUUAAGGUCCAUUAGAGCCUAAUCAUUUAGUUCAAACGGACACAGAUUGGGCUCAGGGUUUCUAGGGUUCCUCAGGGGCAGAUUUGGGAUUUGUGUUUUCUCUGGUUAGAUUCGGACCAAAGCAAGCCUAGUUUGGUCACGAGGGAGGUCAGGGGAGUGUCUGAUAUGAAUCUGGGGUAGAUCGGUGUGGAUCGAGUUUUGCUCGAAUCUUCAAAUGAAGAUUCGAGAACCUAGGGUUUGAUUCGAGGCAAAAGGACAACAGAUCUAUGUUCAGGGUGGUGAGGCGGUCCUAUGGUGUUAAGGUGGAGGUCACCGGCGUCCAUGCCGCCGGGAUUAUUGGUUAGGGGAAAGGGGGCGGCUAGGGUUUUAAAGGGUUUGGGUCUGUGGUGAGGACGAUGAAGGGGGG
rnacentral:lncRNA from 1 species